UACGGAGGGUGCAAGCGUUAUCCGGAUUCACUGGGUUUAAAGGGUGCGUAGGUGGGUUGGUAAGUCAGUGGUGAAAUCUCCGAGCUUAACUUGGAAACUGCCAUUGAUACUAUUAGUCUUGAAUAUUGUGGAGGUCAGCGGAAUAUGUCAUGUAGCGGUGAAAUGCUUAGAGAUGACAUAGAACACCAAUUGCGAAGGCAGCUGGCUACACAUAUAUUGACGCUGAGGCUCGAAAGCGUGGGGAUCAAACAGG
rnacentral:rRNA from 1 species